UACGUAGGGGGCGAGCGUUGUCCGGAUUUAUUGGGCGUAAAGAGCUCGUAGGCGGCUCGGUAAGUCGGAUGUGAAACCUCCAGGCUCAACCUGGAGACGCCAUCUGAUACUGCCGUGGCUUGAGUCCGGUAGAGGAGCAGGGAAUUCCUGGUGUAGCGGUGAAAUGCGCAGAUAUCAGGAGGAACACCGGUGGCGAAGGCGGGUCUCUGGGCAACAACUGACGCUGAGGAGCGAAAGCGUGGGGGGCGAACAGG
rnacentral:rRNA from 1 species